GUCUUGCUCAUCUUAGUUGGUAGAGCAUGGCGAUUGAAACGUCAGAGUUUGUGGGUUUGAUUCCCACAGGGGACC